rnacentral:rRNA from 1 species
UACGGGGGGAGCAAGCGUUGUUCGGAUUUACUGGCGUAAAGGGCGCGUAGGCGGCCAGCACAAGUCAGUUGUGAAAUCUCCGAGCUUAACUCGGAAAGGUCAACUGAUACUGUGCGGCUAGAGUGCAGAAGGGGCAACUGGAAUUCUUGGUGUAGCGGUGAAAUGCGUAGAUAUCAAGAGGAACACCUGCGGCGAAGGCGGGUUGCUGGGCUGACACUGACGCUGAGGCGCGAAAGCUAGGGGAGCGAACGGG